rnacentral:rRNA from 1 species
GGAAGAGAGAAUGCCGGUGUGAGUAGCGGAACGUGGGUGAGAAUCCCACGCACCGAAAACCCAAGGUUUCCAGAGGAAGGUUCGUCCGCUCUGGGUAAGUCGGGACCUAAGGCGAGGCCGAAAGGCGUAGUCGAUGGACAACAGGUAGAGAUUCCUGUACCCGUAUAUAUGUGAAGGAAUGACGGAGAGAGGAAGCUGCAGCCAGCGGCUGGAAGAGCUGGUGCAAGCGAGAUAUCGGGAUGGCAGGCAAAUCCACCAUCCGAAACGAGAAGGCGUGAAGCGUACGGAAAGCUACGGCGAGUACGGAAGGCAGUGGAGGAACUUCCAAGAAAAGUUUCUAACGUUAAGUAUAUAUGGCCCGUACCGAAAAUGGACACACAUGGGUGAGGAGAGAAUCCUAAGGUGAGCGAGAGAACUAUAGCUAAGGAACUCUGCAAAAUGACUCCGUAACUUAGGGAGAAGGAGUGCUCAUAGAGAUAUGAGCCGCAGUGAAACGGCCCAAGCGACUGUUUACCAAAAACACAGCUCUCUGCUAAGCCGCAAGGCGAAGUAUAGGGGGUGACGCCUGCCCGGUGCUGGAAGGUUAAGGGGAGGGGUUAACGCAAGUGAAGCCCUGAACUGAAGCCCCAGUAAACGGCGGCCGUAACUAUAACGGUCCUAAGGUAGCGAAAUUCCUUGUCAGGUAAGUUCUGACCCGCACGAAAGGCGUAACGAUUUGGGCGCUGUCUCAGCUGUAGACUCGGUGAAGUCUUAGUACCUGUGAAGAUGCAGGUUACCCGCGACUAGACGGAAAGACCCCAUGGAGCUUCACUGCAGGUUGAUAUUGGGAUUUGAUGCAGCAUGUACAGGAUAGGUAGGAGGCAAAGAGAUGGAUACGCCAGUAUUCAAGGAGCCGCUGUUGGGAUACUACCCCUGUUGUAUUGGAUUUCUAACCGGACGACGUAGAGCCGUUGACGGGACAGUGUCAGUCGGGCAGUUUGACUGGGGCGGUCGCCUCCCAAAGAGUAACGGAGGCGCCCAAAGAUACCCUCAGCUUGGAUGGAAACCAAGCGCAGAGUGCAAAGGCAAAAGGGUGUUUGACUGCGAGACCUACAAGUCGAGCAGGGACGAAAGUCGGGCUUAGUGAUCCGGCGGUGCUGAAUGGAAAGGCCGUCGCUCAACGGAUAAAAGCUACCCUGGGGAUAACAGGCUGAUCUCCCCCAAGAGUUCACAUCGACGGGGAGGUUUGGCACCUCGAUGUCGGCUCA